rnacentral:rRNA from 1 species
UACACCGGCGUACGGGUGCGUAACGCGUAUGGAACCUGCCCUUAUCUGGGGGAUAACUCGGGGAAACUCGAACUAAUACCGCAUAAGAUAGUAGAAUGGCAUCAUUCAGCUAUUAAAGAUUUAUUGGAUAAGGAUGGCCAUGCGUAAGAUUAGAUAGUUGGCGAGGUAACGGCUCACCAAGUCUACGAUCUUUAGGGGCUCUGAGAGGAGAAUCCCCCACACUGGCACUGAGAUACGGGCCAGACUCCUACGGGAGGCAGCAGUAGGGAAUAUUGGGCAAUGGGCGGAAGCCUGACCCAGCCACGCCGCGUGCAGGAAGACGGCCCUCUGGGUUGUAAACUGCUUUUAACUGGGAAGAAAAGGGGCCUUGCGAGGCAAGUUGACGGUACCAGUUGAAUAAGCCACGGCUAACUACGUGCCAGCAGCCGCGGUAAUACGUAGGUGGCAAGCGUUAUCCGGAUUUAUUGGGUUUAAAGGGAGCGUAGGCGGCUGAUUAAGUCAGCGGUGAAAG